rnacentral:rRNA from 1 species
ACUGCUCAGUAACACGUAGCUAACCUACCCUUAAGUCAGGGAUACCCUCGGGAAACUGAGACUAAUACCUGAUAGGAGAUUAUUCCUGGAAUGGUUUUUCUUUUAAAUUCGAGCUUAAGGAUGGGGCUGCGGCUGAUUAGCUUGUUGGUGGGGUAAUUGCCUACCAAGGCGAUGAUCAGUAGGGGCUCUUAGCGGAGUCGCCCCGAGAGGGAAUCUGAGACACUAUUCCCAGCUCUACGGAGUGCAGCAGUCGCGAAUCUUUUGCAAUGCGCGCAAGCGUGACAAAGCGAACCAAAGUGCUUUUCAUUUAGAAAAGCUUUUUUUCAUUUUAAAAAGAUGGAAGAAUAAGGACUGGGCAAGACCGGUGCCAGCCGCCGCGGUAAUCCCGGCAGUCCAAGUUGCAGCCAACUUUAUUGGGUCUAAAACAUCCGUAGCUUGCUUAUUAAGUUCCUUGUGAAAUCUCACAUCUUAAGUGUGAGGCUUGCGGGGAAUACUGGUAAGCUUGGGAUCGGUAGAUGUGGGGAGUACACUGGAGGUAGUGGUAAAAUACGUUAAUCUUCAGUGGACUAACAAUGAGCGAAGGCACCCUACAAGGACGAGUCUGACAGUGAGGGAUGAAGGCCAGGGGCGCAAAACGGAUUAGAUACCCGUGUAGUCCUGGCAGUAAACACUGCUCACUAAACAUCGGGCCCUCUUCGGGAGGAUUCGGUGCUGAAGCGAAGGCGAAGAGUGAGCUACCUGGGAAGUAUAGUCGCAAGAUCGAAACUUAAAGGAAUUGGCGGGGGAGCAC